GGAGUCUAGCAUGUGCGCGAGUCAUUGGGACAUGACUAAACCUAAAGGCGCAAUGAAAGUAAAGGUUUGCCUUGCGCAAACCAAGGGAAGAUGAGUGGUAAUUUUACUGCUCCGCACUCCCGGGGCGUCUCAUUCUCAUUGCGAGAAGAGGCGCACCAAGAGCGUACACGCUGGGACCCGAAAGAUGGUGAACUAUGCCUGGUCAGGACGAAGUCAGGGGAAACCCUGAUGGAGGUCCGUAGCGAUUCUGACGUGCAAAUCGAUCGUCGGAACUGGGUAUAGGGGCGAAAGACUAAUCGAACCAUCUAGUAGCUGGUUCCCUCCGAAGUUUCCCUCAGGAUAGCUGGCGCUCGUUGCGUACGAGUUUCAUCCGGUAAAGCGAAUGAUUAGAGGCAUUGGGGUCGAAACGGCCUCAACCUAUUCUCAAACUUUAAAUGGGUGAGAUCUUCGGCUUGCUUGAAAUAUUGAAGCCGCAAGACUCGAAUCAGAGUGCCAAGUGGGCCAUUUUUGGUAAGCAGAACUGGCGCUGUGGGAUGAACCAAACGCAGAGUUAAAGCGCCUAAAUCGACGCUUAUGGGAUACCAUGAAAGGCGUUGGUAACUUAAGACAUCAGGACGGUGGCCAUGGAAGUC
rnacentral:rRNA from 1 species